rnacentral:rRNA from 1 species
UACGUAGGGUGCGAGCGUUAUUCGGAAUUACUGGGCGUAAAGCGUGCGCAGGCGGUUUUGUAAGUCAGAUGUGAAAUCCCCGGGCUUAACCUGGGAAUGGCAUUUGGGACUGCAAGGCUGGAGUGUGGCAGAGGAGACUGGAAUUUCUGGUGUAGCAGUGAAAUGCGUAGAUAUUAGGAGGAAUACCGAUGGCGAAGGCAGGUCUCUGGGCUGACACUGACGCUCAUGCACGAAAGCGUGGGGAGCAAACAGG